rnacentral:rRNA from 1 species
ACGAACGCUGGCGGCGUGCUUAACACAUGCAAGUCGCACGGAAAGGCCCUGCUUUUGUGGGGUGCUCGAGUGGCGAACGGUUUAGUAACACGUGAGUAACCUUCCCUUUACUUUUGGAUAACUUCAGGAAACUGGGGCUAAUACCGGAUAGGAGCUCCUGCUGCAUUGUGGGGGUUGGAAAGUUUCGGCGGUUGGGGAUGGACUCGCGGCUUAUCAGCUUGUUGGUGGGGUAGUGGCUUACCAAGGCUUUGACGGGUAGCCGGCCUGAGAGGGUGACCGGCGACAUGGGGACUGAGAUAGGGCACAGACUGCUACGGGAGGCAGCAGUGGGGAAUAUUGCACAAUGGGAGGAAGCCUGAUGCAGAAACGCAGCGUGCGGGAUGACGGCCUUCGGGUUGUAAACAGCUUUAGCAUGUGAAGAAGAGUGAGUGACGGUAAUGGGUAAAGAAGCACCGGCUAACUACGUG